UACAGAGGUCUCAAGCGUUGUUCGGAUUCAUUGGGCGUAAAGGGUGCGUAGGCGGCGCGGUAAGUCGGGUGUGAAAUCAUCGGAGCUUAACUCCGAAACUGCAUUCGAUACUGCCGUGCUUGAGGACUGGAGAGGAGACUGGAAUUUACGGUGUAGCGGUGAAAUUCGUAGAUAUUCGCAAGAACACCGGUGGCGAAAGCGGCUACACUGGACCUCUUCUGACGCUGAGGCACGAAAGCUAGGGUAGCGAACGGG
rnacentral:rRNA from 1 species